CAUAAGUGGCCUGAUGCUUAUCAGUUCGUGCACAACUGAGACAAUUUUCUUACUGGAAUGUGCACUUGCGUUUAUUUUCUCUAAGUUUUCUUCGAGUUCUGAAUGAUCUUGAAGAAUAAAUGGUCUCCUACUGCACAAAUUGUGUACCUGGUGAUGAUCGCGGCUGCUGCUUCGUUAUAAAUUCCAAGUUUUUUGGAAUAAUAUGCAUAGAAGUUUCUCAUGAUUGAAUUAACCAUGGUGGAAUGCCUGAGUUGAAACUUCUACUCGGGUUCUUCCAGGCCUUGAAUGAUGUAUGAUGAAAGCAAUUGUUGAAUUGCGCUAUUUUGUGGUUUCGUGAAGGUGGUUGCGGUCAUCUUCCCCUGUCAGAUGAAUAACAGAGGAAACUCGUUUACGGAUUGUUAUCCUCGAAGGACCUGAAAACUUACCUAUUCAAACACCUAAAUCCUGCAGUUUGGAAUACUGUUGCUCACGCACUUAAACAACAUUUAAUAAUUGCGUCGCUCCGUUAAUCGGUAUGUUAUACCUCAGCCAACAUGCUGCUUUACUCAACGUGUGCACAGCUUUUCUGGUCGCCAAGCAUUUUUGCACUCUACAGUAGAAGACUUUAGACCUUGAAAUCGGUAAUCCGUUCGGAGCAUUGUCGAUAUUCAAGUGCAUUUUGGUAUGAUAGUUUCAUUUGCUCUUAGUACAUUGGAGACUUUUUAUCUCCGAAAUAGACCUCUUACAUGUAAAGACAUGUUCCGUGUUGGGGUAGUGCUCGACGUGAACCGAGACUCUGGGACUUACGAGCAUCAGGAAAUCGGCGCGCUAUGUUUUUUACGAAAUUUACUAAUUUUGCAAUUACUAUAUGGUGGGACCCAUGGUCGGCUGUGACUGGCUUCCAGAAAUAGAUUUUUGUCAAACGCACCUUGCACAAUAGAACAUGGACUGUUUGUAACAUGAGUUGGCUCCCUUUGAUUACAUGCUUUGCUCUUUUCCAAGAGCUUCAUCACAAUUCUGAGAUCCAAUAGCUCCAGGCGUUCAUUCUCUAUUCAGGAGUCUUGAGCUCCAUCGAUUGCUGGAGGAGGGUUCCAGUGUCGAAGUCAUGAAUUUGUUGCAACUGUCUGGAAAGUUCAGGAAUCUUCUCACUUACAGUCUUGAAAUGUGUCAUCCACUCGAGUCGUCUGAAUAAUCAGUUUCGCAAACUCUAUGCGCGAUUUAUUUAACAAAGAGCGAUUUCUCACAUCUGCAGUGCAUACUGACACAUAGAAACUUCUCAUUUGAAACCUUCAGUUGUAGAUCUGUGCGUAGAUCGCAGUCACUUCUUCUAAGAGAACUUAGAAAUAGCAAAUUCAUUCACAGGUUCACGUGAGUGCAGAUGCAAACGGAGCCGGUUAGUGUGGGUCCAAGAACUUCGCACUACUUUGUGGGUCUGAUUACAAUCACUGCGUAACACCCAAGAGCUUAUGACAUGUAAGGACGUUGAAUGACAGCAUGCUCGGUGCAAUGUUGUAUUCUCAGUCCAAGAGUGUUUUGAUUUCGCUGAUAGCAAAGGGGGUUGGGCUGCGAAGCAGCAACUCUCGUAUUCAGAAACCAUGAAGUUUGGAAGCGAUUCCAAGAGGUUACAGUGCACUUGUGGAGUUGCCACUACUCUACUCUUUAUGGUUUUGUGCACUCUAUUUACCUUCGGCACUGUAGAUUUUGGAGUGGAUACAUAUCCAUUCAACAGCCAACAGAAGGGUUUGGAGUGGAUGUUUGGUUCGAAAUCAGACGUAAUCGCGUACAGUAAAAGUGUACCUCAUUCUGUGUCUGUAGCGAGGGAGGCACAACAUACGUGGGAGGGAUUGAAUCCACCCUCCCAACCUCCAGAAAACGUACCCACCAUGGAACUAAAAGAAGUGUACAAUGUGACGCAAUCUACAGAGAUGGUGCACGUUGCGCCUGCCCCACUGGAAGAAUUUAUUGAUUCAGUCGAAGCCUUGAAUGGUGAUGUCGAUGCAGUGGAAGCUGCUCCUCCCUCUCAUGUAGAAUAUGACAGCGAUUUUGCAGAUGCUUCACUGGACGGGGAUCGUCUGGAUUCAGUGAAGGCUGAGCCGUUCUCUGAAGAUUCUGAACAAGAAUUCAAUGCAUCGGCGAUCAACUUGGACCCCAACGAGGAUGUGGUUCUUGAAACUACCGUUGUGUCGAUGGGAUUGAAAUACGACGCAUGUUUGUUAGUGAUUCUGGGCAGGAGGGCACAGGCCGAUCGACAGGCCCUGCCCUAUGAAGAGCUCUACAGACUGUUCAAUGCCGCAAAGAGGCCUUGGAAAACCUUGAGGGACAAAAAAUUGCUCGUAGGGACCGACUCUCCAACCAUUUUUUGCAAGAUGGUUCGAGACUCUCUGGGUCCGGCGGCUGCUUGCUCCAACUUCAACAAAUUCCAAGUCGAGAAGAAACAUGUAAGCAUGUCAACUUACGAUGGCUGCUUCCAUCUUCACCAUGCAAAUGCAUGUAUAUGCCGGAAUUCUAAAAUUACAAUUUUUUAAUCCAAAUUCUAUUUUAUAGUCUCCGCAGUGCAAGCUUCUGAUUGUCGGAGAGACGAAGAGGUAUACUCAACACCCAUCACUCAGCCUAUUGCGGAAGUCUAAUUUGCUCUGGGAUUCGGAGGAAAUCGUGGAUCUAGACGUCGAGGACCCUGAAAGACAACCUCCACUCUUACCCGAAUCGCAAUGGCGACCCACCGUAGUGACUACCUUCAGCAGCAACCACGUUGAAGUCGGCCUCCUCCUGCUUAGAUCUCUCGGUAGAAUUGCAGCUCAGCAAAACAAGUACAACAUUUCAGUGGUGGUUUGGACGAUGAACGAUUUCCCGAGUGUUGCCCGAAGAACUUUGGCCUGUGUGGUGCCGGAGCUCCAAACUUUGUACAAAGUUCCCACGGAGGUUCGAGAAUUUGAUUUUAGUGCCUGGCCGAGUUGGAUGCGUAUCAAUCAGAAGCGUGCUUACAAUGGCGGAAGAGGUCACACCUUCUGAUCCAUUUCUUCGUGCGAGAGGAUUAGGGCUUUGAAAAUUGCAACACUAAUUGUCAGCUGAGCAUCCAUCGCUGUUCGGAGACGUGGCUUUAUUGGGUGAGUACGCGUGGAAGGCAGUAAUGAUCCACACUGUCUUGGUGGAACGGGGGUUUGUCUACUGGGCAGAUGCCGGAAAUCGUUUCCGAACCGUCAACGGACUAAUCCUAACGCUAAAUCACGUAAGACUGAAAGGGUUUGCAUCACGGUUGUCCGGCGGGCGCGUGAAGAAUUGGUGCCAUGUGAAGCAGCUGGAGUAUUUUGGCGCAAACAAACCCGCCAUAAAAAGGUUGCCAAACUGCGACGCAUCAAGUAUUGGCUUCACUCUCCUUAGUUACACCAGGUUAGUAAGGCCAUGGUACGAGUGUUCAAUCACCCGGCAAUGCAUUGCUCCUGAUGGAACAAGUCGGAAGAACCACAGACAAGACCAGUCUGCUCUCACCGUGCUCGCAGCACUGUCCGGAGAUAGAUGCGCAGGAGUGGAUUCCGGAAUCAGCAAGCAAAUGGACAGCCACCCUAGGAGCUACAUGGUCGGUGUCUCCACAACUCACUGCUACAAGGAUCCGCUCAACAUAAAAUGGCAUUGACCACCGUCCCGCUCAUCAGUCUUCUUCGGGAAUCUCCCAGAACGUGCAAGGAGCCGCUAUACAUUCAUAAACACCCAACAUUUGUGCUUCACUGGGAGUUGGGAGGAGACACAGCUGAGCUUGCUUCACUCUUGCAACCCAAUCUUGCUUAGAUCAUCCCCACCAGCAACACAAUUCCCUCAGCGAUUGCUGAUGUUUGUAAACCUCAUAAGGAAACUAUCUGCACUGGCUGCAGUAGAGAAUUUCAUUUCCUAUUCCGUGGGUUCGAGGUUACGAAUCCGAGUGCUCUCAGAGCUGGUCACCUCGACGUAAUUGUUCAUGCGGUGGCCCAUUCGAAGAUGCAGGAUCUCAUCGUCUGUAUGUACACACAAUUCCUGCACGUCUAAGCUUUGCACCGAUUCUUCGUUAUCGAUACAAAGCUGGCUCAGGUAGAUAAUUUUCCAAGCCGUGACUCGUUCUUCAUUUUGUAUCAAAUCACUCCUUACUCGAAAUUAUCAAAGACAACAACACUUUAUUCAAUAGAAAAGUCUUAUAUAUCAUGUAGAAGUUAAUCUUUCUUGUAACUCAUUAGUUACUAAACUUCACCACCAUAGCACUCAGUCCUUAUGCUUGCUUGCUGUGAUUGUCUACAGCAGUUAUAAUGGGUACCAUCUUUUACACUAGUGCACAACAACAAUGCAAUUUCCACUUGCAAAAAAUAGUGUUUUCAGGUCUUGCAGACGUUAAGGGUGCAAUCUCUUUGCAAGCUCUUUUGGCAAGGAAGGGUCUCCACUUCGUUCAUGUAACCUGAACUCAACCCAUGCUGAUAUUAUAUGUGCAAGUUAGUAAGUUUUUUAGUCUGAUUCUUUUGAGAAGCAAUGAAUUGAACUUUGGUUAGCGUAUUUGAAUCAAAGGAUGAAUUCCAAGCAUGGUGAAAGUCAUAUAAAGGUAUCAUCUUUUUGUGGUCCAAUGCAUUUUAU